UACGUAGGGUGCAAGCGUUAUUCGGAAUUACUGGGCGUAAAGGGUGCGUAGGCGGUUCGUUAAGUCUGUCGUGAAAUCCCCGGGCUCAACCUGGGAAUGGCGAUGGAUACUGGCGAGCUAGAGUGUGUCAGAGGAUGGUGGAAUUCCCGGUGUAGCGGUGAAAUGCGUAGAGAUCGGGAGGAACAUCAGUGGCGAAGGCGGCCAUCUGGGACAACACUGACGCUGAAGCACGAAAGCGUGGGGAGCAAACAGG
rnacentral:rRNA from 1 species